CCUACGGGAGGCUGCAGUGAGGAAUAUUGGUCAAUGGCCGGAAGGCUGAACCAGCCAUGCCGCGUGAAGGUCAGUGCCCUAUGGGCGUUAAACUUCUUUUGUGCGGGAGCAAUAAUGGUCACGUGUGGCCAGACGAGAGUACCGUACGCAUAAGCAUCGGCUAACUCCGUGCCAGCAGCCGCGGUAAUACGGGGGAUGCAAGCGUUAUCCGGCUUUAUUGGGUUUAAAGGGUGCGUAGGCUGUGAGGUAAGUCAGCGGUGAAAUGCCCCCGCUCAACGGGGUGAAGUGCCAUUGAUACUGCCUUGCUUGAAUGCGGAUGCCGUGGGAGGAAUGUGUGGGGUAGCGGUGAAAUGCAUAGAUAUCACACAGAACACCGAUUGCGAAGGCAUCUCACGAAGCCGCGAUUGACGCUGAUGCACGAAAGCGUGGGUAUCAAACAGGAUUAGAUACCCUAGUAGUC
rnacentral:rRNA from 1 species